rfam:Homo sapiens chromosome 12, GRCh38 reference primary assembly.
GGAUGUUGGAGUCAACAUCUGCCACCCCAUUGAUCACCAGAGUUGAUUUGGCUGAUCUGGCUGGUUAUGUGGGUGUCCCCUUCCUCCUUCACCACUCAAUGGGCAUUCCUUCCAAAGCUGCCCGCUCAGUCAAAGAAGACAACUUUAACUGAUAGUAGACUUGUAGGAGAGCACACAGAAUGUUGUAAGGGUGUUGUCAAGUUUUAAUGUUUAAUGUGUCAAGUUUAUUGUAUUUUUUCAUGAUAAAAAUAAUAAAACUCAUUGAAGUAUAUGUGAAAAAUAUAUAAAAGUU